rnacentral:rRNA from 1 species
UACGUAGGUGGCAAGCGUUGUUCGGAAUUAUUGGGCGUAAAGGGCGCGUAGGCGGUUUGUUAAGUCGGCUGUGAAAGCCCGGGGCUCAACCCCGGAGGGUCAGCCGAUACUGGCAGGCUAGAGUACAGAAGAGGUAACUGGAAUUCUCGGUGUAGCGGUGAAAUGCGUAGAUAUCAGGAGGAACACCGGUGGCGAAGGCGGGUCUCUGGGCCGAUACUGACGCUGAGGAGCGAAAGCGUGGGGAGCGAACAGG